AAAAACAAAAUCAAUAGAAAAAGAAAACAAAAUGCGUACGCACGUCGUCAAAUCAAUCUGAUGGGCCCCCCUCUCUCUCUCACUCUUCGCCCCUCAUACCUACAGUAUUUUAUCUUCUUCCUGCUCCGCCCCGCCGUGGCUCUGGAUCUGGUGACCUAGCUAGCCAACCAUGCCUCGCACUCCACCGAAGCCUUCCUGCUUCGAGCUACUCCACGCCCCAGUAUUUCAGCUUCUCUGUCCUGUUCCCCUUGCGCGGAUCGAUCUACUUCCGGCCGGGCGCGCGGCGCAGGACGGGAGGGCUUGGCCUUGCUGCUGCUGCUGCUUCCUCUCGGCUCCAGAUCCCCCGCUCGUUGAUGGCCGGCCGGUGAGUCCAUGGAAAACUCCAGUCGCUCCAGUAUGAAAUUUCAUUUUUCAUUUCAGACGUCCAUGGAUGGAUAUAUAGAUCUGCUAAUAUAAGUGCGUAAGUUGGAGUCAGUCACCGCGGCUGCCAGUAAUUCUCUGUAACUUUGUUGAGUGCUAGCUUGCUUGCCGCUAUCGGAAGCCUACCCAUCAUCGGCUAGCUAGCUAGCUAGCGUGAUGAAUAGCUUGCGAGGGGCUUGAAGAAUCCUGCUACUAGUUAGGAUGGUGGCGCCGGGACCGGCCAGGCCAACUGAUGAACUGAGCACAGGAGGAGUAUUUGGCUAGUAGAACCGAGUGAUUAGUAAGCGACCGCCCAGCCAAGAACUCCCAAGAAACUUUUUUCAACUACCAGUAGUGAUUAGAAACCACUAAUAUAUAGUAGAUGCCACUCUGAGUUGGGUUUAGACUGUUUCUGUGACGACAGAGCAGAGCACCCGGUGUGGGAGAAAGGGAGAUGGCACCGGCCGCGCUGUGGCCUCCCAGAUCUAGACGCCGACCAAGUGGGUGGGCCCCACGCAUGAGUCACCGCGUUCUUGCAUUUUCCCCUUUUCCAAUUUGGAAAGAACGGGCGGCGUGCACCCCCGCCGCCUAGGCCUAGGCCUAAGCUAGCUGUCCAUGCUCAAGGCAGGCCUAUUUCAGGGGCACACUACUGGAGUUGUACUAGUUACCUCUUUCCAUUUUAGUACCACCAACGACCCUGCGAUACAACCGUGUACUAGGUGCACGUUGGAGUAUUAUUUUAUUUUAUUUUAUUUAUUUCCGAUUGGGUCGAUCAUUUGUCCCGGACCUUGCCACUCUAGUCUAGCCUAAUUCUUCACUUUUAAAAGUAUACUACCAGAAGAAUCAAACCUAUUAUACAGAGCUCAUCAGAAAUAGAAAGCAUCUUAAACAUAAUAAAAAAAAAAUUACGUCUGAGAUUCCGAGAGCACGGAACAACCACUACCGAGUCGCCGCUCCUCUUUCAGCCCGGUUUGACCUUGUUGAUGAAAGCAUGGAAGUCUUUGUGAACGUGCCCCUAAAGAAUAGUUCCCUGUAGCCGCAAUCGUUGCCGUCUUUGUUGAACUCUUACAUAGAUCUGAAGCACCUAAUCUCGCCACACGACAAGAAAACUAACCUCACCAUCCCAAAGAGAUGGUAGGAAUCUACACUGGAGCUCCGUCGACUACGUCCAAACAGGCGAACUCAAGGGAGGGUUGAAGCCCGAAAGGCAGACUCGAAGAAGAAACACCGGCAUCCGCCGAGCGCGACAUGUGCGAGGAGGGAAACAAACUUAACCUAAACUACCAACCAAAGCAGAUGCACCGAGAUUCCCCUCCCUGCCACCGGGCGCCAAAGUAGCAGGUAGAGGGGAGGGAAAUCCACGGGCUCGCCGGUGAAGUCUGCAGAAAAAAGUUUGCCCUAGCCGAGGGUUAGGGAAGGAAAGGAGAGAAGACCAAAAUCCUCUACACAGCUGCCACCUCCACCUCCUCUCCCAAGAAAGAACUUAGGGUUCCUCUACCUCACAUGGGCGCCGCCGCCGACACGCCUCGUCUCGGGUGGCCCUAGGGCCAUGGAGGCGUAUUGGACCCUAGCCCCUCACCGGCAAGUGGGAUCUUCCUUUGUUUUUGGUGCUUUAUGAGUUUGUUUAGGGUUUGCGUGCUACUUAGGAAGACGAGAUAGUGACGGCUCCCUGAAGAUGGAAUAAAAUUCUCCCCGCCCGCCUCCCGUUCCAGUGAUGCGUCUAGCGUUGUCGGAGGGCGUGGAGGUGUAUGUCCGGUGGAUCUCGCGAGAUUCGGUCAUUGGUGGUCUUCAGUGGAUCCGUUUGGAUCCAAUCUUUAUUCGUCUUCGUUUGUUUGUCUACAUGUUGGAUCUUUUUUUUAUACUUCUUUUCAUCGACGACGGCUGCUGUUCUGGUGUGCUGAUCCUGUGGAGUCUUAGCACGACGAUUUCCAGAAUAUCUACUACAAUAAGUUUGACCUAGAUUCGGUGAGGAAGAGGUGAUGACGAAGGUGCACCUUCGACUCACUCCAGUGCUUAUAGUCUUCGCUAAAUGGUCUAUGGAUAUGGGUGUAAUUUUCAUUGUUUAUGUGUUUAUUUACUGUCGUGGCAAUGAUAAAUAUAUCAAAAGUUUUCUUAAAAAGAUGAGACAAGAGGAAGUUGUGAGCAGUAUAAGUAUUCUUGUAUCUCUUUUGAUUUUGAAGAAAAGAACGAGCACCGCUGGCAAUUAAAGUUGAAAACAAAAACUCAAGUACCUUUCAUUAUUUUUGGUUCGCCGAAUAUAGAGGGAAACGGUUCCGCAUGUACCAAGGGAGUUUAUACGCGGCAAUAAUAAUAAUAGUAAAACAAUAAUAAUAAUAAUAAUAAUAAUAAUAAUAAUAAUAAUAAUAAUAAUAAUUUAUAUACAUAAUAAUAAAGGUCUAUUGCUUCUUGCAGCAUGUCAUGGAAAUUGCACCCAAAGUUGCAAAAUAUUACCCAGCAUGCCACUUGUAAGUAAGUGAUAAAAAAUGUUUCACACACGAGAAUUUUCCGUCUGGGCCGGCUCAGGCAGUAGGGACUUCAUGUAUUGCAUGCUGGGAGAAGACGCCCGUUUGGGUCGGCGUCCGGGUGGCUUUUUUUUUAAUUUAGUUUUUUAUUUUAUUUUAUUUUCCUGUUUAAUUAUUUCUACUUUAGAAAAUUUGGGAGCUAAAAAAGUUCCAAAAAUAAAAAAAUAAGAACUUUGAAAUAAAAUGUUUAAUAAAUCAUAAAAUGUUUGUGGAUUCAAAAAUGUUCCCAAUUUUAUAAUUUUGUCUCUUAUUAAAAAAGUUCGAAAUUUAAAAAAUGUUCGCGAAAUAAAAAUGUACAUGAUUUUUCAAAAAGUUUGUGUAUUAAAAAAAUAUAAUGAAAUUAAACAAAAAUUUUCCAAUUAAAAAAUAUUCAUGAAUAGAAAAAGAUCCUAAAAAUUCAAAAACUAUGAGUGACUUACAAAAUAGUUUAUUCAUUCAUAAAAUGAUCAUGCAUUGCAAAAAAUGUUCAUUCAAACAAAAAAAGUGUUCAUUAAAUCAAUAAAAUGUUCUUGAAUUUCAAAAAUUGUUCCACCAGUUUCUAAAACAAUGUUCGUCCAUUCUAAAAAUGCACCGAUUCAAGAAAAUUGUUAAGAGGAUGUUCACAAUUUUUAGAAAAUGCUUGCAAAUAGUAUAAAAUGUUCAUGAAUUCAAAAAAUGUUCAAAACUUUGUAAAAGUGUUCAUGAAUUUGUAGUUCGCAAUUUCAAAUAUGUUCAUGAGUUUUAAAAAAUGUUCAAGAUUUCACGAAAUUGAGAAUGAUAGUGUAUCUCGGUGACGCGGCAAAAUAUGAUCAUGGCAAUUAGAUUAUGAUUUAUUUUUCUUCCGUUGGAGCGCACGGGCCAAUUCCCAUCUACUAGUACGGUAGUACGAGGUUGAUAAGUUUUCUUUCCUAAAAAAAAAGAGUUAUCUUUCCUCGUGCAUCCCGUGCGGCUAUUAUCUUCUUCCCCCUCCGAUCCAUCACAUCUUCCCUAGCUCUUCCUUUCUCCCAAACCAGAUCUUUGCUGGCGUGGUUUCAAGGCCCAUCGAAGCUCGGGCAGCCGCGCGCGCGCUCUAUGUCGAUGAUGAAGGCGGCGACCAAACCUUUCUUCGUAAUUGGAUUUCCUGUUCCAUGGUUUGGAUCAACUGCCGGCCGGCCGCCCGAUACGAAUUCAGCUUUUAACUCCUGAUUUCGAUCCUUGUUUCUGUGGUAUGGGAUUAAUCAGAUCUCAAUCCCCUCGUUCCUUCAAAUCAAAUUUAUUCAACAAGGGUAGAGUCGCCUCCAAGUUUGGUCCCUAUUCUCAAAUUUGAUUUGCUCAUGCAUGCCCUGCAGGAUCUCCUCGCAGCCGGCCGGCCGUAUACACCGUGUCUGAUCCUUCCUCUUUGUCCAGAUGUUAAACCAAACACGGUUCGAUCUGAGCAGAUGGUCAACUUCUUCCUAUGCCAGGUAAAGUCUUGCACUCCUGAUGAAGUUUCAACCUUACCACCAAGUUGCAAAUUUUCUGCUCCUUUUUUCACCUAAUUAGAACGAAUUGCGUAUGCAUUAUGAAGGUGAUUUCCUCAUGGUUUUGUCAGGCGAGAGUCGGGAAUUAUUUUUCAGUUCAGUCUCUACUGUCUUUUUAUUCCUGUUCUUCUGACGUUGGAUUGGUUCUGAAUGUUUUUCCAUACUGAAAGGACGUUUCGUUAGCGGUCCAUCGAACGUAUGCGACUACAAUUCAUUUGGGAAUGGAACGGGAAGUAUGAAACCACCUUCCUCCUAACAUCUCAGGCUCUCUAGUGAGAAUUCCUGAUGUCUGACUGCCCGUUCUUUCCGUAUUUGUAGACCGAUUCAGGAUUUACAUGUCGAUCAUCGUUUCUGGAGUGAUGGAUCUUCUGCAAAUUGAUCUGUGAAAGCCUUGAAGAAACAAAGAAACAAACCAUUCUAAUCCCCUGACUUAUUUAGGCAACAAUAACAUAGCAAGAACUUGAAAGAAAACACAUUCAUUUGGGAGCCCAUAUCACACGAAUUACAUUUCAAUUGGCAUAGGAAAUGAAAAGGAAAAGGAAAAAAAAGUUGUUACAGUGAGCUGUUCAUUGUGUGAAGAUUAUCAAAUUCAUAAUAUUGACGCCCUUCCCUCCUCCACAUGACUACGCAAAAAUUAUCUGACACGAGGCAUUGCCAUGUUUAAUUGGACGCAAACAGAAGCACCGCCACCAGUUACUUCACGGCGAUAGGUCGACAGAACGAACGAGACAGGAAGGGAUGAAAGGAAUGAAGAUGGAGCUGGUUGCGCCAGCCCUCAAAGGGGAGGAUGGGAACUGACCAUACGGCGGAGGAAGGGGAGAGAGAGGGAGAUAAAUUAAAGUGAUUAGAGGAAUAAUUACGCUAUCAGUAUAGAUUUGCAGAGGCCCAUUUUUUAAGAAAAAAGAGCGAGGACUAGCCCUUGGUUGCCAACUGAGCGACUCUCGGCAAUCAACUUAAUUCCUAAGGGAUUGGAUUAUAUAUUGAUGGAUGGCUGAGGUCGUGUGGUUCUGACAAACUUGUUAUUUUUAGGAAACAACCUGUUAAAAAUACUACCAUAUCUAAAAAUUGCUUCCUUUUUUUGCCCACUAGCUCUAAAAUAUUAUGUCUUUCUUCCCAUUUAUCAAAAUCUCCCUGUCCCUAUGACUUUGCCACUUGUCAAACCCAUACGUCAACUAAUUGAAGCCACAUCACAAAAUCUAAAUAAUAACAAGACUUCACUCUCUUUAAGCAAUAAUCUAGCGACACAUUUGGCAUCCCUCCACAAGUCGGGCUUCAACUCUCUGGGAAUACGCCACUGCCUCCUCCUGCCCUUGACGACACUAUCUUUUUAAAACCGCCAUCAAGGCACUUCAUUAAUUCAUAGGCAGGUUAACAUCUCAUUGCAUGGGAUUACAUCAUCAAUACUUGAAUCAAUAUCCAGCAUAAGUGUUGUCUUGGUGCACACACGUGCAUACAAUUGGCACUCCUUCUAGCAAAACAAAAAGUAAAACCCUGGAAGUUUGAGAGAUAUCCCCUCAUCUUUUUGAAAACCUGACCGCAUGCAGAGCGAUCCUCACCUUUCAUCCACAUAGAGUACAAGACUUGACAAUCCGUCUAGAGCACAAUGUACUGAAAGUCUUUCUCCAUAGCCAUAAUCACUCCUUCAUGGCAUGCCAGUGUCCCAAUGAUGAGCGGUUCAGAGAUUGCAUUAUAUUUAACAUACAUCGCCUGGAUAAGACCCAUCAUGUUCUCGAGCAAUCACCCCAGCUCCUGCUAUACCUCGACUUGAUUUUUGAAAUUGCUAUUAAAUUUUUAUUUACUAAAAUAUUGUAAGCCACCUUCAAUUAAAUUUUGUUACAAAUAAUUAUAAGGAAUUUAUAAGGGUAAAUUACAAUUUAGAUUGUAAUUCUACUAUAUACUGUACUCUCGCCGUUUUAGUUUACUAGGUCCAUCUAAAAAAUCACUGUAACCAAGAAAGACCUAAUCAAGUGCUGGACCACGUAUUAAUGCAGUAUGCUUCGUCAUGGCUCUUUUCCUGCAUUUGUUGGUUCUAAAUUAAGAACCAAAAUUUGACAAAUACCAAUGCGGCUCUAAUCAAUGAUUGCGUAAACCCAAGGCAUGGGGGCUUACAAACUAAAAAUUCAGAUAUUUUGAGAUGGGUCUAACAAGCUGGACGGGAGGGGGUAUUAGGCAGUAUCAUUAUGCUUGGAGUUGAAGUGUGAUGUCUUUUGAGAUUAAUGAUAAGAAUACAUACAUUUAUUGUUCCAAUACUUGAAUAUGGUAAACACAUGAAAUAUGUCAAAGUAGAGGGCAAAGAGGAAGAAAAAGCAAGUCGGAGUAUCUUGGACACUUCGGCACAAAUUAGGAGAAAUAGUAGAAUUUAUUCUGAAAAGGAAGAAUCAUGUUAACACCAUGGAGCUCUGUGGGUGAAUUCAUUUGUAUCUGUAUAUAGGAGAUUCAGCCAGCGAAAGUUACACAUGGUCCACAAUCUCUUGUGAUUAACGAGUUGCGUAUGUCUUACAGUGCACCCAAUCUUCGGGAUAUUUUAGAACUUAGCCCGGGCACACAUGCCUCACAUUUUAACUCAUUCUAGGCUUCUCAUCAUUUCGUUGUUUGGUCACUCUUGCAGGUUCUAGGCCAGCUACCAAGCAUCAUCUGCUCGGGAUAUUUUGCUUACUCUGACAUCCCGUAACUCUGUUGAAUUACUCUCCUAUAUAUCGUCACGUAUAGAUGGUACGUUCCUUUUACAGCGAGCUGUACGUGUUGCACAGCACAUCUUAUCUAUUCUACAGUUGCAGAGUUGCCUAGGAUUAUGUUCUCAGCAUUUCCUUCUUUGGUCACCUGUGCAGGUUCUGGGUCAGCCACCAAGUUUCCUCUGUUCUGCAUAUUUUGUUUCGUUUGACAUCCAACAAGUCUGGAAGCGAUCUCUUUAUAGCGUCACAUAUAACUGGUACGCUUCUUUUCAAGUCUCGUGCAUUUACUUGGGGCUCAUUGACACCGGUUAGUCUGAAGUGCAUCGGCUAUAAACAUGGGUAUUUUCGAUUAUCUAAAAUUCAUUUCAUCAGGACAUGCAUUUCCAUGAAAAGAAAAUCAUCCCAUCUGCAUCAACAUUGAUGUCGUAGUGAGACCGAGAGAAGCCGAAGAAAACUUGCCAAGUCCUUUUUCCCAUUCUCCCGCGCAACCCAUCCUAUGGCGGCUCCAGGACUGAAAUCCUAGUUCACCCCCCUCCCCCUCUUGCGCUUGAGUCUUGUUUUGUCUCCAUUGGCUAGAGGUGAACAGGGCGAGGCAUGUCACAUGUGGUGAUGGUGGCGUGCGACAAUGGUGACGACGGCGAGGCGCACCAUGGGAACAGUGGAGACAGGCGAUGCCGGAGACACGUGGGUGGCGGUUGGCGCUAUGUGGUGGUGAUGACAAUGGUGUAGGUGCCAAAGUGCGCAUGGUUGGGCGGUGGGGUGCCAGGGGCACAGUGGCGGUAGGCGGUGCUAGAGUCACCUGGGUGGCAUGCGAUGGUGAUAUCAGCACAUGGCGGUGGCGGUGAGAUGCAUAGGGUGGACGGUGGGGCGCACCAGGGCACGAUGGUGGUGGGUGGUGGCGAUUGGCCAGUCAUAGGGGUGGCGUUGGUGGACUAGAUGCACGGUGGUGGCAAGUGGUGUGCCCGCGGCGGACGUGUCGGUCUACUUGUUAAGCUCCGACGACGACAAAAAGCGCAAGGAUCGCGGCGGCAAUGGAAGAUUCGGAGGAAGAGGAUGCGCCAGCGAAGGAAGAUGCAGAGGAGGCCGCUGGUGGUGGCGAGUGGUGUGCCCGGGGCGGAUGUUGUGUCGGUCGACUUGUGGAGCUCCGACGACGACAAAUAGCGCGAGGAUCAUGGCGGCAAUGGGAGAUUCAGAGGAAGAGGAUGUGUCGGGGAAGGAAGAUCAGGAGGAGGCCGAUGGUACCGACGAGGUAUGCAUCCCCUCGUGGGAGGAGGCGGAGAGGGAGUAUGAGUGGGCUCUACCCAAGGAGGAGCACCGGGUGGGAUGUCGGGCUCAUCGCGCACGUCGUGUUGGAAAGGUCCAUCAGCGACGAGCGUGAGAUAGUCGAGAAUCACCAUGACAGGAGUCAAUAGCAAAAAACUACCACAUUACGGGUCAUCGUUCAAAAAAACUACCGCUUUUUUAAUCUUUUCAAAAAGCUACCACAAAAUUGUUCUGCUGUUACAAAAAACUACCAUGUCGCACUGAUGACUACUUUGGUUAACUUUAAACGUUAUUAUGACAGGUCGGGUCCACUUGUCAGGUUGAUUGUUUGAUUUGACCGUUAGUUUGACCAUUGACAGGUUAUGACAGGUGGGGUCUAAGUAUUUUUUUAGCAAAUAGGUCCCUGAAACAAAAUAUAAAAGCAAUCAGGUCCUUGAUUUUUUUUUUAAAAAGCAAUCCCGUCCUCCCGGGGAGCUCGUCGCCGGAGCCGGCCAGUACCACACCGGCGAGCUCGUCAGGGCCGUCCAGCUCUGGCCGUGGCCGGCGGGAAGCAGCAGCCGCGGCGGGCUGGAACCGCCCGAGUUCCCUGGCUGCUCCCCGCCCGUGCUCGAGCUCGCGGCCAGCGGCGGGGCGGCUGCUCGUGGCCAGCGGCGGGGCAGACCUAAGCAGGCAGCGGCGCGUCCAUGACGUGGUGGUGGUCGGCCCUCGCGGCGGCGGCCGUGGUGGUGGCCGGCCCGGAGACGCUCCCCAUGGCGUGGUGGUGGCCGGACCAGGCGGCGGCGGCGGCCGUGGCUCCGUCGGCCAUGGCGCUCGGGAUUUCGAGUGAUAAGGGAGGGAGAGAGGGGAGAAGAGAGAUAAGGGAGAGAGAGCACUUACAUGUGGGACCCAGUUGUAAGUUAACGGUAAACAAACAGUCAACAAACGGUCUGUUUAGUAGCGGGCCUGACCUGUCAUAAACGGGAUUAAUUCUAAGUCGGGUGGUCAUUUGGGUUUUUUGGAACAGCAGAACAAUUUUGUGGUAGCUUUUUGAAAAGAUUAAAACAGCGGUAGUUUUUUUAGAACGAUGACCCGUAAUGUGGUAGUUAUUUGCUAUUCACUCCCAUGACAGCAAGAACAAGAGCUGCUCUUUUAGCGCCGAUGACUCGAAGGUACCAUCGUGGAGCAUCCAUGAUGCCGAUGAGUCCGGCUCAGGGAAGGCGUAUUUGAUCUACCUCUCGUCCGAUAAGGACAAGCAAGUUUAUCUUGUUUUUAGCUCUAAAUCUAUGUUAAUUAGGUUGUAGUUAGUUUAAGUACUUGGUAAUUAGGUCGUAGUUAGUUUAAGUACUUGGAUAUUUAAUGUGCACCCUGAAAUCUAGCGUAGCGGCAUAGGUAGAAAUCUAGCUUUGGUGCUCGAAAGUCCGAGUAGGAAGUAGCUGUAGUAAUGGACUUUUAUUUGCUGUGACAGAAGUUGCAGAAAGUAAAAAACCAUGCAAGUGAUAAGCUCUUAAGAUGUCGGCACUCAUCAUUCAAUGUCUGUUAACACAUGUAAGUAGUAAAAUAAAUUUGAUCAGCUAGCAGUAGCACACUUCGUCUACUACCACACACACACACACACAGUGAGUCUCACAAACACAGUGGCUCAUUAAUGAGUACAAGUGGGACACCACAAAUGUUGAAGGCACCAGUCGCAAUCUCCAAGAAAGCACUAUUCGCAUUGCUCUUGUCCACGCGAACAGAUAGUACUACCACUCCAGUCUUGCUGCAGAACCCACUCAAACUUCCCUGACAUCGACCUCGGGAUACGAGCGAGAACCACCAUGUUUCAUCAUUGUCAUGAGUGCAUCAAUGACAUGGUCUGAGUCAUAGUUGAUCAAGUGAAGCAAUUGAUCAGUACCAGUUCCCGCGAGCCUUGUCAUGGAGGCUGGGUAGUUGGGAACUAGGUUGCCAUCCUCAUUUUGCUCAUAAACAAUGUAGUUUUUGAUGCGAUUAUGUCCUUCCUUUGCUGACAAGGCAUUGACUGAACCAUUCAUCUGUUGCACUGCUUUAAUCAAUUUGUCAUUCCAUCCGUGCACCUCAUAGUACUUGUGCAGCAGGGCAACAUAUAAAGCAAGGAAUGAUCUGCCCAUGCUAGACCAAUCAUGUAAGUGAUCGUUCAACUCUUCAUGAAGCGGGACUGCAUCCCCAUUCUCAAAGUUCUGCUCCGCAAACUGCAAGAACACCCCUGAACGUUGACACUCCCCAAAUAAUAUCAUAAAUGUCUGCAGCAAUCUAACUCUAUCAUAUAUCCAAUCUCCAAUACUAAUGCUGUUCUCUGGAGUGAAUAUUUUCAAGUGACAAUUGGUGGGGGUGAAAGCAAGGAGGCAUUCCAGUAAGUUCAGAGUUAUCCCUUGACCAAGAGUUAUCCCCACUUGCUUCGUGUAUCCACUGUCCCAACUUAGCUUAUUCCCUUUCAGAUCAAAGGGAAGGUUUACAUCCUUAAAGUGAAACCAUCCACCCGGAUUUUCCUUGGUUGGAACAACAUAGAAUGCGAUCAGAUAACCGUUACUUUGGCGAAAUAGAAGCCACAGCACAACCUUGCCGUCCAGCUCAAUCUCGACCAUGUUGUAUGUUUCCUGCAAUUCACAUUUGCACAUCAUUUCAACUCCUAGCCAUAUGUAGGAAAAGGAUAAGAAAAAGAAGAAAAAGAAUCAGCGAAUAUUACAUUUUCGGAAGGCUGCGUGACUGGAACUCCUUGAAUGCUCAUUGAUCUCACUUUCUUAAAGAGCUUGCGUCUAGCAUCCAGAACUUCCUUCAAACCAUCAUAGUUACUCUGAAUGGCGCCACGCUCGUCAAUGCUUUGAAUAUUGCCAUCCUGGUCAGUCUUCAGUCUCCAUAUUACGCUCUUUACAUCCUGCAGCAAAGAGGAAGCAACGAGCAUUAGUUUCUAAAAAUCAUUUGCUAUGCUUUAUCAACUUGCGGACAGAACUCAAGGUCAUAAAUAUAUUGCAAUCUAGCAUUUGCCUCUAUAUAUAUCCAAAAUUCUGAACCUACAGUUAAUAUGACAACUCCGAAACUGCUUGUCAAGUCACAAGAUAAUGAAUUAAAGUGUUGCACUGUUAUCUGCUGGUAGGUAUAACACAUAUGCCCAAACACACCGCUUCUACUCCUGCUUUUGCACUUAAGGUGAACAGAUUAGGUGAACAGAUUGCACAUAUGAUUCAUAAACCAAAGCAUACUGCUUCUACUCUACUUAUGCACCGAAAGGUAACAGAUUGCACAAAGAACUCUUUCAUGAAGAAUAUUGGAGCUUGCAUUUCAUGACAAUGAAAAGGGGCAAAUGAUAUUUUGCAUGUUUGUUCUCACAUUAAGUUAUGCAAAUAUUAAAAUAUACGAAUGUGUUGCUCAUAGUGGUUAAGUUCAAGGAAUAUGUAGUAUUCCUGUUAAUUCUUAGUUAACUUACAGACCUGUGAGAGGCUGUGUAUAUUAGUUUACAUAUAUAAUUCUAAUGAUGUCAGAAAGCUGUGAGAGGCAGUGGUCAUCUAACGAGCAGCUGUAAAUUAACUUUCUCUUUUGAAAUCCACAACCACAAUUAGUUAGCAGCAUGUCAAAUUGAAAAAAAAACAAGUGAGAGAGAAGAAUGCUUGUGGUCGUCCAACACACUGAUUAAGUGAUAUUUGGCAAGACAGAUUUCUUUAGGAAUUAGUUCAAAUUCAAACAAACAUAACUGAGCGUUCGAACCCAAAUUUCACCCUUUCAAACAAGUCCCGUGUGCAGUACCUGUAUGCUGAAAGAUUCUAUUCACUGCUGGCAUAGUCUGAAUAAUUAAGCAAUGAAAUUGCAAAACACCAUACAAUUUCAAUAGCAACAAGUGAAUGAUCUAGGGAUGUGUUUAGUUUGAGCCCCAACUAGCCCACCAAAAUUUUGGCAUGACUAAGACAAGGGCAUGGCUGAAAAUUCGGCAACUACUUGUUGUUUGGAUUAUAGCAAUUGCACCUACUAUUUUUUUUGGCAACAUGUAUUAAUUUUUGCUUAGUUUGAUUCCUAUUCAGCUAUCAUGUUGCGUUAACAAAAGCAGAAACAAAUGUUAAACAGAACUUAAUUAACUACAGUGUGGCAAAAGAAACUGAAUGGACCUGUAAAAAGAAUGUUAAACAGAACUUAAUUAACUACAGUGUGGCAAAAGAAACUGAAUGGACCUGUAAAAAGUGUGGAUCUUUAACACAGAUGUCACCAUGCACCUAAUUCUACCUAUCUCUGAAGACAUAGUUGAUUAUAGGAAAAGUCACAGCUGAUUAUACGGAGACUGAAACAACUAUAUUGACAUGGCUAAACAGGACUAGUUACACUUACAUGGCUUCAUACAUGGAAACUGGACACGCGCUUAAUGAUCUAUUCAAACUAUUGCUGGAUGAGAUGUCACCGCUUAUUGCUUCCGUCAACCGUCAACGUGAACUCAUGUAGUUAAUCUACCUCACUAAUUGCUUCAGUGUUGCAGUACAGAAUGAGGCCCCACAUAUGUGAAGCGGGCAAGCUGGUCUGCCAAAUAUUUGGCGAGUGCUUUAGCGCAAACGGCAUGCCCAGGCGUUGGCGAAAAUUACAUGGGAGCAUGAGGACUUGCUUUGGCGAACCAAAAUUUUGGCAUCUAUAUGCAAGCGGAAGGCAAAUCUCACAGACAAGUCACAAAAUUGGUAUGGCUAGUAUUGGUAGUAACCAGACACCUGAAGUCUUACCAAAGAUAAAAUUUACUUUCAAAGUCAAUUAUAUUGGCGUUGCAACAACUGGCAAUCCCUUGCAAGUUCAUAAAUUCAGUUACUUUAUUGACUGUCCCUAAAUACCAGACCGGUCAAAUUCAUCAAAACCUGCUUUUUAAGCUAGACGCAGCACAAGCAAGUAGAUAUUCGCCCAGAUCUACUUUUCAAGUAAAUAUCCUAGCCGGAUGUAGAAAAUAUCCUAUCAUUUCACCAGAUCUAGAGAUACGAAAGAAUAUUUGGAAGCCGAAGAUGGCAGGGGGGAUGGAUUGGUAGAUGCAUACCGAAAUGCUGGUCUGCUUGCAAGCAAUCGACCGCCUCGAGGCCUCCUGAAAAGCCAAAUCCUUUUUCUUCUGCACCGCAUCCCCCGCCCCACUACUCUGGCUGCUAUCAGAUGGCCGACUGCUGCUACUGAUAGUUGCCCUCGUCCCUCCGCGGCUGCUGGAUUCGUUGACCGACGCUCCUCCUUUCUUCCCCCCUUCCCCCCGGCCAUGUGUAGCGCCGCGCCGCGCCUCCCACCGCCCCUUCCUCUUAGUGCAAGCGACGAAUCUGUGGAGAGAGUAGAAGCGGAGGAGCACUUGCGGUGACUGUAAAGUCGACACCUUUCUACUGCCUGCCCGACUAAUGCUUCUCAAGAGAGGAUGUUUUAGGAUAUCUCCAAGGCCGGCCCUCAAAAGGCCUGUUGUGCCAUUCAAUAUGGGCCUGUAUCGGUCCAUCGAGUGACUCAGGCGUGUUUUCUUUCACAAACGAAACCAAAGACAAACGUGGGGAUUUGCAAGCCUCCGGACCACUCCCAAGUCCACGUCUGACCGCUUUGGCCCACCCAAAUCGUCCCCUCGUCCGCGAUCGCUUCCCACCUGUAACGGUUAGCGCCGCUUCAGAGCGCCAGUGCCGCAUUCAUGCUCGGCUAGAGUGUACGUAAUUUCUCAUUGUCGCCGGCAUUGAAGCGGCAUAUAUGUCGAGAGACCGUUGCCCACGCUACUUCCCGGUGCAGGCGACUGCUCCGCGUUCAGACGACACCGAGACAAGAUACGAACUAUCCUAUGUGACCUUGAGAAGAUAUAUCGUCCAGCCUUAUUUGAUGUGAUGCU
rnacentral:lncRNA from 1 species